GCGCAGCAGUCGAGAAACCUCCGCAAUACACGAAAGUGUGACGGGGCCAUCCCGAGUGCCGUCCGCUGAGGACGGCUUUUCCCCAGUGUACACAGCUGGGGGAAUAAGGAGAGGGCAAGCCUGGUGUCAGCCGCCGCGGUAAUACCAGCUCUCCGAGUGGUGGGGACGCUUAUUGGGCCUAAAGCAUCCGUAGCCGGCUGGGCAAGUCCUCCGUUAAAUCCAACGAUUCAAUCGUUGGGCUGCGGGGGAUACUGUCCAGCUUGGGGGCGGGAGAGGCCGACGGUAUUCCCCGGGGUAGGGGUGAAAUCCUAUAAUCCCGGGAGGACCACCAGUGGCGAAGGCUGUCGGCUAGAACGCGCCCGACGGUGAGGGAUGAAAGCUGGGGGAGCGAACCGGAUUAGAUACCCGCGUAGU
rnacentral:rRNA from 1 species